rnacentral:tRNA from 1 species
GGAGAGGUGCUAGAGUGGUCUAAUAGGACACGGUGCUAACGUGUUAGGCUCGCAAGGGCCUCCAGGGUUCGAAUCCCUGCCUCUCCG